GGGCUUGACAUCCCACGAACCUGCCCGAAAAGGUGGGGUGCCCGCAAGGGAGCGUGGAGACAGGUGGUGCAUGGCUGUCGUCAGCUCGUGUCGUGAGAUGUUGGGUUAAGUCCCGCAACGAGCGCAACCCUCACCCCUAGUUGCCACCGGGUUAAGCCGAGCACUCAAGGGGAACUGCCAGCGUCAAGCUGGAGGAAGGCGGGGAUGACGUCAAGUCAUCAUGCCCCUUACGCCCUGGGCUACACACGUGCUACAAUGGCCAGUACAAAGGGACGCGAGACUGCGAAGUGGAGCUAAUCCCAAAAAGCUGGUCUAAGUUCAGAUUGCAGUCUGCAACUCGACUGCAUGAAGGAGGAAUCGCUAGUAAUCGCGCAUCAGCCCGGCGCGGUGAAUACGUUCCCGGGCCUUGUACGCACCGCCCGUCACACCACGAAAGCUGUCUGUACUCGAAGUCGCUGAG
rnacentral:rRNA from 1 species